rnacentral:rRNA from 1 species
CCUACGGGGCGCAGCAGUGGGGAAUAUUGGACAAUGGGCGAAAGCCUGAUCCAGCCAUGCCGCGUGUGUGAAGAAGGCCUUCGGGUUGUAAAGCACUUUCAGUGGGGAAGAAAGCCUUGGGGCUAAUACCCUCGAGGAAGGACAUCACCCACAGAAGAAGCACCGGCUAACUCCGUGCCAGCAGCCGCGGUAAUACGGAGGGUGCGGGCGUUAAUCGGAAUUACUGGGCGUAAAGCGCGCGUAGGCGGUCUGAUAAGCCGGUUGUGAAAGCCCCGGGCUCAACCUGGGAACGGCAUCCGGAACUGUCAGGCUAGAGUGCAGGAGAGGAAGGUAGAAUUCCCGGUGUAGCGGUGAAAUGCGUAGAGAUCGGGAGGAAUACCAGUGGCGAAGGCGGCCUUCUGGACUGACACUGACGCUGAGGUGCGAAAGCGUGGGUAGCAAACAGGAUUAGAUACCCCGGUAGUC